rnacentral:rRNA from 1 species
UGGGGAAUAUUGGACAAUGGGCGCAAGCCUGAUCCAGCCAUGCCGCGUGAGUGAUGAAGGCCCUAGGGUUGUAAAGCUCUUUCGCCAGGGACGAUAAUGACGGUACCUGGAUAAGAAGCCCCGGCUAACUUCGUGCCAGCAGCCGCGGUAAUACGAAGGGGGCUAGCGUUGUUCGGAAUCACUGGGCGUAAAGCGCAUGCAGGCGGAUCGCUAAGUCGGGGGUGAAAGCCCGAGGCUCAACCUCGGAACUGCCUUCGAUACUGACGAUCUUGAGUCCGGGAGAGGUGAGUGGAACUCCGAGUGUAGAGGUGAAAUUCGUAGAUAUUCGGAAGAACACCAGUGGCGAAGGCGGCUCACUGGCCCGGUACUGACGCUGAGAUGCGAAAGCGUGGGGAGCAAACAGG